AUGUCCACCACCACCGCUGCCAUGACAGCAAGCACCAUGGGUGCACUCACCACCUCCUCAUCUUCCACCUUCGCCUCCUCCUCCACCACCACCAACACCACCUCUCUCGGAUCGCCACCCCACGAGAAGCUGACGAGGGGCAACUUCCUGCUCUGGAAGGCCGUCGUGCUGCCUCAGAUCAGAGGCGCACAGAUGGAGCACCACCUCGACGAGAAGAGCCCGCCACCGCCGGCCACUCUCACCAUCACCACGGAAGGCAAAGAAGAACAAGUCGUCAACUUUGCACGCUCCCUCUGGUAUGCACAGCAGCAACAACUUCAAGGGUACUUGAUGGGUUCCUUUUCCCGUGAGAUCCUUGCCCAGGUCGCAACGCUCCAAACGCCGGCCGAGGUGUGGCGCACGAUCCACGCCAUGUUCGCUGCUCAAAGUCAAGCCCAGGCGAUCAAUACUCGCAUUGAGCUCACCAACCUCAAGAAAGGUAACAUGUCCAUGUCCGACUACCUUGGCAAGAUUAAAAGUCUCACCGAUGAAGUUGCAAGCACUGCUGCGGCGCUUUGUGAUCCGGAGAUUGUCUCCAAAAUUCUCGCUGGGUUGGACAUGGAAUACAACCCGGUCGUCUCCGCACUCGCCGCCAGGGUUGAGCCCAUCACCGUCCAGGAGCUCUAUAGCCAGCUGCUCAGUUUUGAUGCCCGCCUUACCCUCCUGCAUGGCGGCGAUCUUCGCCAAUCCUCCGUCAACUCUGCCUCCCAUGGUCGCGGCCGUGGGCGCGUUCACCAGGGGCAACGCGGCGGUGGGCGCGGACGCGGUCCUUCCCAGGGCGACGGCGCUCGCUCUGGUGGGGGGGCCGGCUACAACACCAACGGCGGCGGCGGCUUCACCAACAACAACGGCCGUCGUCCUCCCUCCCGUGGUCGCCCUCGCUGCCAGCUUUGCAAAAAGUCUGGCCAUGAGGUGAUCGACUGCUGGCAUCGGUUCGACGAAGACUACGUACCUGACGCUCGCCAUGUCACUGCUGCCAGACGUGAACAGGGCGGUGGCGAUGGUGUGUGGUACGUGGACUCUGGCGCGACGGACCACGUGACUAAUGAACUCGAGCAGCUUGCUCUCAGUGAGCGCUACCAUGGCAGCGACCAGAUUCACACCGCAAGCGGUGGAGGAUCGGGCAACGAGGGAACUCCUUCAUCACGGUAG
rnacentral:rRNA from 1 species